rnacentral:rRNA from 1 species
AAUAGAUACCCAGGUAGUCCACGCCGUAAACGGUGGGCGCUAGGUGUGGGGGACUUUCCACGUCCUCUGUGCCGCAGCUAACGCAUUAGGCGCCCCGCCUGGGGAGUACGGCCGCAAGGCUAAAACUCAAAGGAAUUGACGGGGGCCCGCACAGGCGGCGGAGCAUGUGGCUUAACUCGACGCAACGCGAAGAACCUUACCAAGGCUUGACAUGCAGAGAAAUCUCGUAGAGAUACGGGGUCCGCAAGGGCUUUGCACAGGUGGUGCAUGGUUGUCGUCAGCUCGUGUCGUGAGAUGUUGGGUUAAGUCCCGCAACGAGCGCAACCCUUGUCCUAUGUUGCCAGCGAGUAAUGUCGGGGACUCAUAGGAGACUGCCGGGGUCAACUCGGAGGAAGGUGGGGAUGACGUCAAAUCAUCAUGCCCCUUAUGUCUUGGGCUGCACACAUGCUACAAUGGUCGGUACAAAGGGCUGCGAGACCGCAAGGUGGAGCGAAUCCCAAAAAGCCGGCCUCAGUUCGGAUUAGGGUCUG